CUCUGCCUACGGGGGGCAGCAGUGGGGAAUAUUGCGCAAUGGACGAAAGUCUGACGCAGCGACGCCGCGUGAGGGAUGAAGGUUUUCGGAUCGUAAACCUCUGUCAGGAGGGAAGAAGGCGCAUGGCGCCAAUAAGCCAUGCGUUGACGGUACCUCCAAAGGAAGCGCCGGCUAACUCCGUGCCAGCAGCCGCGGUAAUACGGAGGGCGCGAGCGUCAAUCGGAAUUACUGGGCGUAAAGCGCGCGUAGGCUGUUGUGUAAGUUGGGGGUUAAAUCCCACGGCUCAACCGUGGCACAGCCCUUGA
rnacentral:rRNA from 1 species